GAUGAAGAACGUAGCGAAAUGCGAUACGUAAUGUGAAUUGCAGAAUUCAGUGAAUCAUCGAGUCUUUGAACGCAUAUUGCGCUCUCUGGUAUUCCGGAGAGCAUGCUUGUUUGAGUAUCAGUAAACACCUCAACUCCCUUUUCUUUUUUGAAAUUGGAGCUGGACUUGAGUGAUCCCAACGCUUUCUUCCAAGAAAGUGGCGGGUUGCUUGAAAUGCAGGUGCAGCUGAACUUUUCUCUGAGCUAUAAGCAUAUCUAUUUAGUCUGCCUAAAAAACAGAUUAUUACCUUUGCUGCAGCUAACAUAAAGGAGACUAGUUCUUGUGCUGACUGAUGCAGGAUUCACAGAGACAGCUUCGGCUGACUUUGUAAACUCGAUCUCAAAUCAAGUAAGACUACCCGCUGAACUUAAGCAUAUCAAUAAGCGGAGGA
rnacentral:misc_RNA from 1 species